rnacentral:rRNA from 1 species
UACGAAGGGGGCUAGCGUUGCUCGGAAUCACUGGGCGUAAAGCGCACGUAGGCGGAUUGUUAAGUCAGGGGUGAAAUCCUGGAGCUCAACUCCAGAACUGCCUUUGAUACUGGCGAUCUUGAGUCCGGGAGAGGUGAGUGGAACUGCGAGUGUAGAGGUGAAAUUCGUAGAUAUUGGGAAGAACACCUGAGGCGAAGGCGGGUUGCUGGGCUGAUACUGACGCUGAGGCGCGAAAGCCAGGGGAGCAAACGGG